AGCGAACGCUGGCGGAAUGCUUUACACAUGCAAGUCGAACGGUAGAGGGGGCAACCCCUCGAGAGUGGCGAACGGGUGAGUAAUAUAUCGGAACGUGCCCAGUCGUGGGGGAUAACGUAGCGAAAGUUACGCUAAUACCGCAUACGAUCUACGGAUGAAAGCGGGGGACCGUAAGGCCUCGCGCGAUUGGAGCGGCCGAUAUCAGAUUAGGUAGUUGGUGGGGUAAAGGCUCACCAAGCCAACGAUCUGUAGCUGGUCUGAGAGGACGACCAGCCACACUGGAACUGAGACACGGUCCAGACUCCUACGGGAGGCAGCAGUGGGGAAUUUUGGACAAUGGACGCAAGUCUGAUCCAGCCAUUCCGCGUGCAGGAUGAAGGCCCUCGGGUUGUAAACUGCUUUUGUACGGAACGAAAAGGUUUCCAUUAAUACUGGGAGCUCAUGACGGUACCGUAAGAAUAAGCACCGGCUAACUACGUGCCAGCCGCCGCUGUAA
rnacentral:rRNA from 1 species